rnacentral:rRNA from 1 species
GAUGAACGCUAGCGAUAGGCUUAACACAUGCAAGUCGAGGGGCAGCAUGGUCUUAGCUUGCUAAGACUGAUGGCGACCGGCGCACGGGUGCGUAACGCGUAUGCAACUUGCCUCACAGAGGGGGAUAACCCGUCGAAAGACGGACUAAUACCGCGUACACUUGGGAUAGGGCAUCCUGACCCAAGGAAAUGAAAUUCGCUGUGAGAUAGGCAUGCGUCCCAUUAGCUAGUUGGUGAGGUAACGGCUCACCAAGGCGACGAUGGGUAGGGGAACUGAGAGGUUGAACCCCCACACUGGUACUGAGACACGGACCAGACUCCUACGGGAGGCAGCAGUGAGGAAGAUUGGUCAAUGGGCGAGAGCCUGAACCAGCCAAGUCGCGUGAAGGAUGACUGUCUUAUGGAUGGUAAACUUCUUUUAGACGGGAAUAACAAGAGUCACGUGUGGCUCCCUGCAUGUACCGUAUGAAUAAGCAUCGGCUAACUCCGUG